rnacentral:rRNA from 1 species
UACGUAGGGGGCUAGCGUUGUCCGGAUUUAUUGGGCGUAAAGCGCGUGUAGGCGGCCAGAUAGGUCUGCUGUGAAAACUCGAGGCUCAACCUCGAGCUGUCGGCGGAAACCAUCCGGCUAGAGUCCGGAAGAGGAGAAUGGAAUUCCCGGUGUAGCGGUGAAAUGCGCAGAUAUCGGGAAGAACACCCGUGGCGAAGGCGGUUCUCUGGGACGGUACUGACGCUGAGACGCGAAAGCGUGGGGAGCGAACAGG